AGUGAACGCUGGCGGUAGGCCUAACACAUGCAAGUCGAACGGCAGCACAGUAAGAGCUUGCUCUUACGGGUGGCGAGUGGCGGACGGGUGAGGAAUACAUCGGAAUCUACUUUUUCGUGGGGGAUAACGUAGGGAAACUUACGCUAAUACCGCAUACGACCUACGGGUGAAAGCAGGGGAUCUUCGGACCUUGCGCGAUUGAAUGAGCCGAUGUCGGAUUAGCUAGUUGGCAGGGUAAAGGCCCACCAAGGCGACGAUCCGUAGCUGGUCUGAGAGGAUGAUCAGCCACACUGGAACUGAAACACGGUCCAGACUCCUACGGGAGGCAGCAGUGUGGAAUAUUGGACAAUGGGCGCAAGCCUGAUCCAGCCAUACCGCGUGAGUGAAGAAGGCCUUCGGGUUGUAAAGCCCUUUUGUUGGGAAAGAAAAGCAGCAGGUUAAUACCCCGCUGUUCUGACGGUACCCAGAGAAUAAGCACCGGCUAACUUCGUG
rnacentral:rRNA from 1 species